GAAUAUUGGACAAUGGGGGCAACCCUGAUCCAGCCACGCCGCGUGUGUGAAGAAGGUCUUCGGAUUGUAAAGCACUUUAAGUUGGGAGGAAGGGCUUUAGGUUAAUACCCUGAAGUUUUGACGUUACCAACAGAAUAAGCACCGGCUAACUCUGUGCCAGCAGCCUCGGUAAUACAGGGGGUGCAAGAGUUAAGCGGAAGUACGGGGCGGAAAGCGCGGGUGGGUGGUUCAGUAAGAUGGGGGUGAAAACCCCGGGCUUAACCUGGGAACUGCUUUCAUAACUGCUGGGCUAGAGUACGGUAGAGGGUAGUGGAAUUUCCUGUGUAGCGGUGAAAUGCGUAGAUAUAGGAAGGAACACCAGUGGCGAAGGCGACUACCUGGACUGAUACUGACACUGGGGUGCGAAAGCGUGGGGAGCAAAC
rnacentral:rRNA from 1 species